UUGUAAUAAUAUAAGUAUAUAAAGAAACUAUUAUAAAAUUAAUGCUAUGUGUCAAAGAGAAAAAUUUAUAGUAUAUAUAUAAGCUCUUAGGAAAAUCUGAUCCAAAACGAAGUGAAAUGAAAUAUCUUAGUAACUUCAGGAAAAAAAAUCAAAAGAGAUUCUGUGAUUAGCGUGAGUGAAAAUAGAAGAGCCUAAAAAGUAGAAUGGUCCAAAAAACUGUUUAAAUAGAAAGGGGAACCUUCCUCAAAGGCUAAAUAUGACACGUAAGCGAUAGUGAAAAGUACCGUGAGGGAACAAAAUAAAAAUAGUAGUUUUAUAAGCAGUUCGAUAAAAAGAACGUACCUUUUGCAUAAUGGGUCAUCAAGUUAACAUUAGACGCGAGCAUUGUGCGUAGUUAAACCGAACGUAAAAAUAACGUAAAAGUGUCUAAUGUUAGACCCGAAUAGCGGUGAUUUUACCACAGUCAGGAUUAUAAAGGUCCGAACGGGUGAUUGUUGCAAAAAUCUCCGAAGAACUGUGGUAGGUGUGGUGAAAGACAACACUGACCGCUGUAGCUGGUUUUCUGCGAAACCUAUACUAGUAGGCAAUUUAAGAAAAAUCUUAGCAGGUACAGAAUUUAAUCUCGGACAAGACGUGUAAACGUUUUAUUUUGUACAAAUAGGGGGAUCUUAGCGAUUUUAUCUGUGAGUAUGUAUGCUCGGAACGGCAAAGAUGUAUCUUGAAUGAUCAGACAUAGAAUGAUAAGGUUGUAUGUCAAAAGGGAAACAGCCCAGAACAAUAAUUAAGGUUCCUAAAUUAUUAGUUAAGUGAAAUAAAGAGAGUUUUUAUUGAAGUCGACAAGGAGAUAGGCUUAGAAUCAGCCAUAAUUUAAUGAGUUCGUAACAGAGCGCUUGUUAAUCGAUAAUAGGCAUCUAAGAUUUAACGGAUCUAAACAAUAUACCGAAAUUUUGUCCAUAAUAUAUUGUAUUAAUAAUAUUUAAUAUAGUAUAAUGGGGUAGCAGAACGUUGAGUCUAAAAAUAAGGUUUUAUUUAUUAAAUAAAAUUUUGAAAUAACUCAAGUGAGAAUGGUGACAUGAGUAACUAAAAGAAAAGUUUUUGUUUUCCGCCUUAAGCUUAUGGUUAAAAUUAAGUAACGGCCUCUAAGUUUAUAUUAUCUAAAGAUUUAAAUGAUGAGAAAAUCUUUUUACUAAAAAACAACAUUUAAGCGUAAAAUGUGCAGGAAAAAAUAGUAAAGUAAAUAACCGUACCUAGAAUCUGAAACAAGUAAGCAAGUAGAGAAUACGAAGGCGUAAAUGAGCUAACAAUCAUAAAGGAACUCGGCAAAAUGACUACUGUAACUUCGGGAGAAAGAGGGCUACAAAAAUAAAUACCGGAAGUUGAGCUACUAUGGGUUUAUACAAUAGGAAGAGGCAUAGAAUAGUGCUGUACGACUGUUUAAUUAAAACACAGCACUUUGCUUAAGAUAAAAAAAAAUCUACGUAUAAAGUGUGAGAUCUGCCCAGUGCCGGCAGGUUAACUGAAAUAAUUUAGUAGUACUAAUACUAGAUAUUGAAGGACACCCCGGUUAAAGGCGGCCUUAACGUGAGGGUCCUAAGGUAGCAAAAUGCCUUGGCCGUUAAAUGCGGUCUUGCAUGAAUGGUGCAACGAUACAGCAGCUGUCUCUAUGAUUGGCUCAGUGAAAUUGGAAUAGCAGUGCAGAUACUGCUUACCUCUAGAUAGACGAGAAGACCCUAUGCAGCUUUACUGUUACUAUUUAUGGAGUAUGAUCGAAAAUUCACAGUUUAUAAUAAGGUAAUUGACAAUUUGCAAAUGAGAAUCCUUUAUUUAUCUUUCAUAUGAAUGAAUAAGAUUAAAUCAACCUAAUUCAACUUACUAUUAAAAGUAUGCGACCUUUGGUCAAGGGACUAUGACUAGUAGACAGUUUAUGUGGGGCACAGACCCUGUAAAGAGUAAACAGGAGUAUCUAAAAAAAAAUAAUCAAAAAGAUUAUUUAGUUUGCAAUUAAAGGUAGUUUGACUAUUUAUAAUCAUAUUGUACUUAUGGCUUAGGCAUAUAAAUUAAGGUAGGAUUUUAACUAAGAGGGAAUUAGAGAUAAUAGAAAAUAUCGUAAACAAGGAUAUUUUCAAGCUAUUAAAAAAAAUAGUUAUGUAUUGAAUAUCUAAAAAGCUUAACGGCUAAAUCUUGCCUGACUGUUUGAUUAUCUACACAUCUUACAGUUGCGUAAGCAGGGCAUAGGAUCACUAGAUGCAAUAAGGAAAGAUCUAGGAUUCUUGGAAAAGUUACGCUAGGGAUGGGUUUGUCCUUUAAUAUUUUAUUAAAUAAUUAAAAAUAAAUUGGGUAAAUUUCAAGAAUAACUGAAAACAGUAAACUUGAAACGAAGUUUAUUUUAGCAUAAUAAAAUAAAAACGUUCAACGACUAUAAGGUGAGUAAUUAUGUAACUACAGUUU
rnacentral:rRNA from 1 species